rnacentral:misc_RNA from 1 species
UCUUUUUUUUCUUUUUUUCUUUUUGAAGAGAGCAUAAAGAGGCAUACUUGCUUUUGGCUUCUCUUUAGACACUGUUCUUUAGAGUCAAAGGCUUAUGUUUCUCCCUUCCUUCAAAGCUAAUCUUGCGGUUUAUGUCUAUCUGAUUAUCUCCUGAAAUUGAUGGAUUAGCUGUUGAUAUGAACCUUAUUGCUUCCUCUUGAGGUACUUCUUUUGAUUCAGGUGCAUAUCUUGGUUUUUGUAAUUUUAAUUAACUUGAUUGUUUGUUUUGAUCAUUUCUAGUUGAUUGUUUUUGUCUGGAUUUGCUAUGGAUCUCUUUACCUUUGUAUAUGUUGCACAGGUUUGAUUGUUGAGAUUUCUGCUAUGUUUUUCUUGAUAGUUUAUUUCUAAUUUCAAUUUUUGAUUGAACACAGCAGUCUUCUUCUUGUUGGAAACAGUUAUUUAUGCUUUCAAUUAUACAAGUUCUGAUCUUUCUUUGUACUCAUAAUUAACAGAAUCAAAAUGGGAUGAUGUGUUGAAGAUAUCCUUUUUAAAUUGCAUGCUCGUUACAUGGGUGAAGACUGAAGGGCAGAAUCUGUUUCAUGCUUCUUCUUCUUCUGAAUAUAUAAUGAAGCAGAGUUUGUUUGGAACAACUGCCUUUAGCAUGAAUUAGGAUAUUGUUGAUGAUAUAAUAGUCCAUGCUUGUGCCUUCACAGAGUUACAGAAUUGAUAUUAAAAUGAUGGAACAAAUUUUACAUUUUAGUGAAUGUGAUCUUUUCAUAAGCUUUGUGUCAAACUUUGCAUCUUCAGCUUGAAUAUGAAGUAUUGCCUGUAAGAAAUUUCUUGUUCAAUCAAUUAAAUCAAAGAAUUAGGCCUAGGGUCAAGACGAUAGGCCUUGAUUAAGUACCUGAACUUCAUUGAUCCCAAUCACUUGACUGAAGCAUUGGAAUUGAAACUCUUUCCUAUAAACAUUCCUUGAAUCUAGCAUCCAAAUUUUUUGGCAUAUCAGAGAGCUUUUAAGAUUUCUUCCCUUACAAAUCCUUCCAAGUAUUGUUCUUGAUAUGUGCAUAUAUUUGGUUUUCUUCCAUAAGGGCAAUUUAGAAAAGUCUCCUCAAAUCUUCUUUUUAUCCUUGUAUAUAAAUUUCCGGACAGUCACAUUCUCCAUUGUGUCUAUGUUUCAGUUCUCUCUCUCUCUCUCU